rnacentral:rRNA from 1 species
AUUGAACGCUGGCGGCAGGCUUAACACAUGCAAGUCGAGCGGGGGAAGGUAGCUUGCUACCGGACCUAGCGGCGGACGGGUGAGUAAUGCUUAGGAAUCCGCCUAUUAGUGGGGGACAACAUCUCGACAGGGAUGCUAAUACCGCAUCCGUCCUAUGGGAGGAAGCAGCGGCUCUUCGUACCUUGCGCUAAUAGAUGAGCCUAAGUCGGAUUAGCUAGUUGGUGGGGUAAAGGCCUACCAAGGCGACGAUCUGUAGCGGGUCUGAGAGGAUGAUCCGCCACACUGGGACUGAGACACGGCCCAGACUCCUACGGGAGGCAGCAGUGGGGAAUAUUGAACAAUGGGGGGAACCCUGAUCCAGCCAUGCCGCGUGUGUGAAGAAGGCCUUAUGGUUGUAAAGCACUUUAAGCGAGGAGGAGGCUACUUUAGUUAAUACCUAGAGAUAGUGGACGUUACUCGCAGAAUAAGCACCGGCUAACUCUGUGCCAGCCGCCGCAGUAA